rfam:Exidia glandulosa HHB12029 unplaced genomic scaffold EXIGLscaffold_861, whole genome shotgun sequence.
UUACCACUCUGGCCUUUUGGCUUAGAUCAAGUGUAGUAUCUGUUCUUUAUAGUUUAACAACUAUAACAGUCCCAUUGGGACUUGUUUGUUGUUUUCUUAUUUUUGCCGGCCUGCUUGGCGUUCGCGAGCUUGCUCGCGGCGCCUUGCGCGAUGACCUUGCCUCUGCACUCCCGGCUUGUGUCGUCAGGGCAU